GACGAACGCUGGCGGCGUGCCUAAUACAUGCAAGUCGAGCGAGCUUGCCUAGAUGAAUUUGGUGCUUGCACCAAAUGAAACUAGAUACAAGCGAGCGGCGGACGGGUGAGUAACACGUGGGUAACCUGCCCAAGAGACUGGGAUAACACCCUGAAACAGAUGCUAAUACCGGAUAACAACACUAGACGCAUGUCUAGAGUUUAAAAGAUGGUUCUGCUGUCACUCUUGGAUGGACCUGCGGUGCAUUAGCUAGUUGGUAAGGCAACGGCUUACCAAGGCAAUGAUGCAUAGCCGAGUUGAGAGACUGAUCGGCCACAUUGGGACUGAGACACGGCCCAAACUCCUACGGGAGGCAGCAGUAGGGAAUCUUCCACAAUGGACGCAAGUCUGAUGGAGCAACGCCGCGUGAGUGAAGAAGGGUUUCGGCUCGUAAAGCUCUGUUGGUAGUGAAGAAAGAUAGAGGUAGUAACUGGCCUUUAUUUGACGGUAAUUACUUAGAAAGUCACGGCUAACUACGUG
rnacentral:rRNA from 1 species